GAGACCACAUCAUGCUAAUUCCUGGCAGGGGCAAGAUUUAAUACACAGUUGUGAAGCGAAAGGGUUAACUUGUAGCAGCACGUUCACUAGAGAGCGGAGAUGUUAGCUUAAGCUGACAAACCCAGUAAACCGAUGAAACAGCGGCCAUUAGAAUUUCCUUGUUUCUCUCAAGGAAAGAAAGCAAAUUCGAUAUGCCUCCCCAACCUAGGAUAUGAAGCUUACCCCACACCUGUCAGUGCUCCGGAGCCAGAGGCGAGUCCAAGAAAAUCUUGGAACUAAUCCCCAAGAUACCUAUCAACAAAGCAGCGUAUUAUAUUAAUAUAUGGCCUUUCUGAAGGUAUUGAUCUGAACCAUCCGGGGAAUGGAAUACUGCCCAAGUACAUUUGAAAGACAAGUUGUAGCCUUCAUCUUACUACGGGAUCAGAACGAACUAAUCAAACGGGCUACUUACAUGGUAAAUUACUCUUUAAAUUAUUUUCCUACACAAAAGUACAAUGUUGUUCUGGCUUAUAGGGGAUCCUAUAAAACUGAAGAGCAAAAUUAAUGUGUCUAUGCAAACUGCAAAACCCUAGAAAUGUAAGUAUAAGCUCACAAACAGAAACCAAGCAAAAGACUAAAGAUAAGUUCAAAAGUACUUAUUUUAAAGUUUAUUUAUUAAUAAAUUCAACAUAUAACAAAUUUAAUUUUUAAAUGUGCAUCCAACCCCCUAAACUAUAGAGAUAGAUAUUUAACUUUUAUCAACAGUACUCCAUUAACCCAAGUUAUUGCCCACUAGCUUGUGUUCUUUUCUCCUCUUGCUUUCAGUCUCUCGAAAGUUCCUUUAUGUUUCCAUAGCUAUUAAGCCUUUGUGUUUCUUCAUCCCCAUAUAAGAAUUCACUAUCUUCUACUUAUCUCUACUUUUAAAUUUAAACUGUAUUAUAAAUUUGUUCUUAAGUAUAAGCUUAUAGAACUUGUACUUUCUUUAAUAUUCAAGAAGUUUCUCAAACUUCCUGUUUGGAGGCACAACAAAAUUCUUCUUUUGCAAAUUCCAAGAAUUUCCAACAAAAAAAUGGAGCAGUGCAUGAGGCGGCAGCGUGUGCCCCUCAAAACCAGAGCAUGGCUGGCUGGCACCAACUACUAGGCAGGCUCCAAACAGCAGGAUCACCACUGCUGCAGCUGCAGGAGACCCCCAGGACCCUAGGUAAGGCUGCUGGGGCCAGCCCUUCCCGACCCAGGGUAACCUGCCAGAGGAGCAUGGCACAGGUGUUCCCCGGGGACAACUAAUGGCGGUACAAGGUGUGCAGCUGCUAGUUAUCCCUGGGGAACCAAACAUCCAUGCUUGUGUGGACAUGGCCUAUGGAGCUAUCUGAUAGCUUGCAUCCUGUUAUUUCCCUUGCUAUAUAUCCAACCUUCUUCCAGAACACCUUAACUCUGGGAUGCAUCCGUAUGUGGUAGAAUCCUCCAACAUUUGCCUGUUCUUAUAUCAUAAAUCAUAACCAUAAAUUGGGCAUGUGCUACCUCUUCCCCCCUAGGGCUGGGGAUACUUAGACUAAAAAAGGUUGAAAGCCCUUGCCAUAAAUGCAUGUAAUUUUAAGUGGGGUGAGAUACAAUGGAUAGAGGAUUUGAAAAUAAUUUUCUUCUAUUAUCAUGCAGAUUUAUGUGUGAGGACCAUUCUUCCAGAUGUUUGCCCAUUCUUCAGCACUUAUUUAUGAUCCAAUGUCAAUACCGCACUUUGUCAUAAACAGUGUUUUUUUCUCUAUUAUGGUUAUUUGAAAUUGCUUUAUAUAACACAGACAAUAGGCCUGUGCGUUUCUGAGAUGUGACCAGUAUUUUCUCAAAUGCUGUCAAAUUUCCAUUGAGGUUUACCUUUCUUUGAGAAUGCGUUGAAAAAUGUCUCAAGUGCAGGUAUUGGAAAAUGGAAUUUUAAUUUCACUUACAAUACAUUAUAUUUCUUUUUAAAAUCUACAUAUAACUUAUUUGAAAAUGUAUUAUACCUGUAUGUUCCCAGAUAUUAAAGCCUCCUAACAUACUAUUAGAUUAAAUUCAAUAUUAUUAUGUAUAGGGGCAAAAGGUGAUGGAUAUGAGCUUAAUUUCUUCUAUGUGUUUUCCUAGGUUUUAAUUGCUGUUCUCAUAAAGGGGUGAUUAUAUAUUGAAUUUGAUCUGGAAGAUUUCUUUCGCCAUGGUGAUAUAUUAAGUUUGACUGUUGGACAGUCACACUUUCACAGAGGUAUUUCUUCCAUUUGCACUCUGUCAAUCAGAAGUGUCAUAGGAUCAAUAAUUAAACGACUGUAGGCAGAACUAAUGACCCAAGAAAAGAAGGAAACAAAUAUUGACAAAGCAACAGUAGAGGGAUGUGACAUUUUCCUGUUCUAGCUGAGUAACAUCAGUGUUCAUUCAUAUCUGUAUAUAAUCUUGUCUCUGUAUAUGCUCUAUUUAAAUACUCUAUUAGAAUAAUUUGUAGAGAGCCACCCCUAUUUCUAAGAGUGUCCUGAUGUAGGUGUCAGUUUUUCAGACUAACUAAGCAUAGAUUAAGUAGAGAGAACCUACAGGGGGAUAAACCAACACAUAUGAAACAGCAGGAAGUUUUCAGAAUCUGCAGUCUUGCGCUAGUAAUCUUUCAGGAAAAUCUUUCUGAGAGUGUGCAUGGUAGCACAACUGCAGUGCCCAUAGCCCAGGGCUAAAUGACAGUUUCUAACCUCCAGUUCUCUGUACCACAAUCAAAUAACUCAGAACCACCUUGCUAAGCAUUAGGACAUGUUAAGAACCACAAGAGAAUUUUCUAGUGCAUAGCAUAGAGCACUCAUUACACAUCACAAGUUAAGAUUUUAGCCCAGAGCCAUUUUGGAAUAUUUAUUAUUUCGGAAAUCAGCUGUAGCACAGAAGACAGAUUGAGACUUUAGAUGGCUGCAUAGGCAAACCAGGAGCAUUAUAUAGAUUCAUAGAUUCAUAGAUGUUAGGGUCGGAAGGGACCUCAAUAGAUCAUCGAGUCCGACCCCCUGCAUAAGCAGGAAAGAGUGCUGGGUCUAGAUGACCCCAGCUAGAUAUAAAUAUGGUUAUAACCUAGAGAAACAAUUUGAUGUAAACCCUAGAUUUAGAAUUACUUUCCUUUCCUUCUAAAGUAAAAGCUACUAUGAAAUAGUCUUACUUUUUAAUUGAAAUGAAAAAACAUUAUUGAAGGCAUAACUUGAUAUUAAUGAACCAAAACUGAAUUAUAUUAAUGCAGGAACACCAGAGUUAAGAAUGCAAUCUAAUUUUAUUAAUCUGAGUGAUUUGCCAAAUGUAGAGAGACAAUGUAACUGGUGAAGUUGUGUUCAGUUCUUUUACAUGAGACAACCCUGGAUAGACUAGAGGCAACCCUCAGAAAAUUCCAGCUCUUAGUUCUCACUAUUUUUUUGCCUACAGAAAAAUAGUAGAGCAGUUUUUCUGUUACAAAGAACUCAGAAAGACCACAGCUAUAGAGUCCUAUGUGAAAUUUCUGUGUUUAUCUUCUAAUCAUAUGAUCAUGUAACAUCAUAUGGAAGGGAAGGGACCUCAGGAGGUCAUCUAGUCCAACCCCCUGCUUAAAGCAGGACCAUCCCCAACUAGAUCAUCCCAGCCAAGGCUUUGUCUACCCAGGUUGUAAAAGCCUCCAAGGAUGGAGAGUCCACAAACUCGCUGGGUGGCCUGAUCCAGUGCUUUACUACCCUGCUAGUGAGAACAUUUUUCCUAAUAUCUAACCUAAACUUCCCAUGCUGUAACUUGAGACCAUUGCUCUCUGUUCUGUCAUCUGCCACCAGUGACUAGCUCCAUCCCUUUUGCAACUACCCUUCAGGUAGUUGAAGGCUGCUGUUAAGCCCGCCUCAGCCUUCUUUUCUCCUGACUAAAUAAGCCCGGUUCCUUCAGCCUCUCCUCAUAAGCCGUGUGCCUCAGCCCCCGACCCAUUUUUGUUGUUCAUCGCUAGAUUCUGUCCGCAUCCUUUCUGUAAUGGGGGACCCAAAAUUCGACACAAUACUCUAGAGGUGGCCUCAUCAGUGCCAAAUAAAGGGGAAGAUCACUUCCCUCAGUCUGCUGGCAAUGCUCCUACUAAUGCAGCCUAGUAUGCUAUUAGCCUUCUUGGCAACACAGGUACGGUGUCAUCUGACCACAGCAAGAUGGGAAUCAAGACGUUUUUUGAAGAUUGCCGGGGUGGAUGACUGAUACAGUUCUGAACACUGCACUUCAAGAAAGAUGUGGAGAAGCUUGAGAGAAUCCAAAGGAGGGCCACACGUAUGAUUAGAGGCCUGGAGACCAAGAUGUGUGAGGAGAGGCUGAAGGACUUGGGAUUGUUCAGCCUGGAGAAGAAAAGACUCCGUGGGGACUUGGUUGCAGCCUGCAACCACGAAAGACUGGACAAGGGAAGAAACCCUGGUCUCCGGAGCAGCCGCACUUGAGGUCCUAACAGGCACUCCCAUCUUCUGUCCAGAUGACAGCAUUGCCACCCAUCUUCUGAGGCAGAGAGAGUACUGGUCCCUGUGGCUCCACAGCAGCCACAGUGGGCUACUUUGCUGCGGGCAGAGUGAUUUUGUGGUGACCUGGCUGAUUAAGUGUACAUACCUAUUAUAAGUUGCCUGAGUGUUAAAGUUGAUAACAUAAUUGCUUUUGUUAUAUGAUAAGUAUUUGCUUUAUCUGCUGGUAGAGAUUAUUAUUGAGCUCAUUAAAAAUAUUUUGUUUAUUAUUUAUGGAAUGUUGAAUUUGGCAGUCUUUCAGUUAUUAUUGUAAAUAAUAAAUUACUGCAAAUAGUUAUUUAGUAUGUGGCCUGGUACAGGGAGGACCACGGGAGAGCACUCCAAUGAGUGGUGGCUCCCAGCUUGUAGAUGGAGUGGGAGUAGACCGAGAACUAUCAUCACCCCAGGAUCCCAAAAAUGUGGACGUGGCUGUGGGUAGCGCCGCCACCAGAGUUAUAUUUGCAUACAUAACAGUGCUAACAUUGUGCUGCACCCUCAAAAAGAUCUCAAGGCACCCUGGUUAAGAAUCACUGAUCUAAAAGGUACGACUAGUAACUGAAGAAUAGACUGAGCUUUUACUAAAAAGUGUGUGCAUGUGUAUAUAAAACAAACUGGUGAAGUAAGUGUCAAGCACAAUGUGCAUAAAAUAAUAGCAUUGUGUAAUAUCAAUGUAAAAUAACAAGCUGUUUGCAUUAAACAUAAGAAAGAGAAACCUGGAAUAAUUUCACUUUUAUUGAAUAGUUUGAAACCUUUUUACCACACAGACUCAAAUAGGUUACCUGCAUCAGCAGUACAUCUUUUACAAAAACAAUGGAACACUGCCCCUCAGAAAUUUUAUCCAAAUAGGGACCCUCAAGACCAUGAUACUGUAAUUAUAUUUGAAUGAAAAUUAGGCAGGUUCUUUAAUCUUUGCAUAAUUGAGAUGUAAGAGAACAAUUAAUGUUUUCAUCUUGUUUUUGGCUUAAAAUGAUCUUGCUGAUCUCCUUUGUAUAUAUAUACUUCAGCUUCUUUUAUAGUCUAAUUUAACCAUCUUGUCUAUUUCUGAAAUGUAUUGCUCCGAUUUUUUAUUAAAUCAAUUACUGGAGUUAUAUGCACGUUUGCAGGUUGUAAACAAGGGUGCAUAAAAUUAUAUCGUUCAAUAAAAGGGGCUGUAAAUAUGUGUUUUGGAUUUUA